rnacentral:rRNA from 1 species
CAGCUCCAAUAGCGUAUAUUAAAAUUGUUGCAGUUAAAAAGCUCGUAGUUGAAGUUCUGCUAAAAGUAACCGGUCUGCUUUUAAUAAAAGUGGUAUCUUGGUGUGUAUUUAGCAAUGAUGUCCUUUGAAGUGUUUUUUACUUUAUUGUAAUAAAGCAUAUUCAGGACUUUUACUUUGAGAAAAUUAGAGUGUUUCUAGCAGGCUGACGCUUUGAAUACUGCAGCAUGGAAUAAUAAGAUAGGAUUUUAGUUCUACAUUAUUGGUUUUAAGAGCUAAAUUAAUGAUUGAUAGGGACAGUUGGGGGCAUUUGUAUUUAACUGUCAGAGGUGAAAUUCUU